rnacentral:rRNA from 1 species
GAUGAACGCUGGCGGCGUGCCUAAUACAUGCAAGUCGAGCGAACAGACGAGGAGCUUGCUCCUCUGACGUUAGCGGCGGACGGGUGAGUAACACGUGGAUAACCUACCUAUAAGACUGGGAUAACUUCGGGAAACCGGAGCUAAUACCGGAUAAUAUAUUGAACCGCAUGGUUCAAUAGUGAAAGACGGUUUUGCUGUCACUUAUAGAUGGAUCCGCGCCGCAUUAGCUAGUUGGUAAGGUAACGGCUUACCAAGGCAACGAUGCGUAGCCGACCUGAGAGGGUGAUCGGCCACACUGUAACUGAGACACGGUCCAGACUCCUACGGGAGGCAGCAGUAGGGAAUCUUCCGCAAUGGGCGAAAGCUUGACGGAGCAACGCCGCGUGAGUGAUGAAGGUCUUCGGAUCGUAAAACUCUGUUAUUAGGGAAGAACAAAUGUGUAAGUAACUAUGCACGUCUUGACGGUACCUAAGCAGAAAGCCACGGCUAACUACGU